GACGAACGCUGGCGGCGUGCCUAAUACAUGCAAGUAGAACGCACAGUUUAUACCGUAGCUUGCUACACCAUAGACUGUGAGUUGCGAACGGGUGAGUAACGCGUAGGUAACCUGCCUGGUAGCGGGGGAUAACUAUUGGAAACGAUAGCUAAUACCGCAUAAUAUUAAUUAUUGCAUGAUAAUUAAUUGAAAGGUGCAAUUGCACCACUACCAGAUGGACCUGCGUUGUAUUAGCUAGUAGGUGAGGUAACGGCUCACCUAGGCGACGAUACAUAGCCGACCGGAGAGGGUGAUCGGCCACACUGAGACUGAGACACGGCCCAGACUCCUACGGGAGGCAGCAGUAGGGAAUCUUCGGCAAGGGACGAAAGUCUGACCGAGCAACGCCGCGUGAGUGAAGAAGGUUGUCGGAUCGUAAAGCUCUGUUGUAAGAGAAGAACGGGUGUGAGAGUGGAAAGUUCACACUGUGACGGUAUCUUACCAGAAAGGGACGGCUAACUACGUG
rnacentral:rRNA from 1 species